rnacentral:lncRNA from 1 species
AGGUGCUCCACCCCCAGCCCCGUCAGAGGAAGCUGGGGUUGCCUCUGGGUCCUGUAACCCUCCAGCCUCGCCUGAGCUGCAGAGGUUCAGGGCAGAGAGGCGGAGGGAACUAAGUUCCCGCAGGAGGAGUGCUCGCCUCCAGGCCAGGAGAGGUGAGUCACCAGAGGAUCGGGGCCGCCCUAUGCCUCGGGGCAGAUAAAAGCCGGCCAGCCCCAGUCCCAAGUUGCAGGAGCAAUAUUGUUGGUUGCUAGUUCCUGCCUGAACCCUGUCCUGCUUUCCUGCCUGAGCUCCUGACCUGACCUGGCUCCCUCUUUGCAAGCCUUUUCCUGACUUCACCUGACUCCCUGCCCUGCACCCAGCUUCAGCUACUACCAACUGCCUCCACAUUGCACCUUUGACCACGGACCGGACUUGGACCUUGCCUCUCGGGUAACCCAUGGGACUGGCACACUUUCUUCUGUCUGUUCCAGUGUUCAGCAUCAUAGGAUAUCCAUCAGUUUUAGUGUUAUGAAAGAGGGAGAAAACCCUUUCUCUAUUCACUUUUUCUAUGCCAUGCCUAAUUCUGUAAACUUCUGUCAUAGCACCUCUUUCUCACCUUUUCUCUGCAUCAAUAAGUCCCAAACAUGGCUGUUUCUCCAUUGGGGAAUCCUUCCAGCUCCUUGAUUAUUUUGGUGGCCCUUUUCUGAACCUUUUCCAACUCGACAAUAGCCUUUUUGAGGUGUGGCAGCCAGAUCUGUACACAUCCCUCCAAAGUGGUCACACCAUAGAUUUGUAUAAUGGGAUUAUGAUACUGGCAGUUUUAUUUUCAAUUCCUUUCCUAACUAUCCCUAGCAUGGGAUUUGCCUUUUUGAUGGCCAUCACCCACUGGGUCGACACCUUCCUUGAGUUAUUUACUGUGACCCCAGGGUCUCGCUCCUCCACCCUACUGUCAGCACAAGAGAACGGCUGUAAAUGGAUUCUCCCAAAUAUUGCCACAGACUCCAGCCUGCUGCAAUUGGUUGAAUAGAAGUAGCAGAUUCCACCCAGUCUGCAGGUCAUACAUUUCCCAACCUAGGAGUAGUCAAAGGAAAGCGAAGGACACUGUGGUACUGCCCAAAAAUUGUGAGGAUGGUGCCUGCUCUGUUCUGGAAUUUGAUCAUGUACCAGUACUAUAUCCCGGGCAUGAAAGGAGUGGGAAACACUAAUAUGGAGGUGAGGAAUGCAAUCACCCUUGAUUUCUCCAAUUACAGAAUGGAAUAUCAAUUUUGAAAAGACAGAGAAGCAAAGACAAAAUAUCAUUGCAGAGACAGAAGCUUGGAUCAAUUCUUUCUUUCUCCAAAUAGGACCACCUGUUGUUCUGACAUCACUGUUGGAUGAAGCAGCCAUUUCUUGUCCAGCUAAAAGUAAACACAUUUGUUACCAUCUGCAAAAAAGCAGAGGUAAAGAAAGACUGGAAGGGGAGAAAAGGAGAGGGAAUCAGGAUUAAAUAAGGGGAAGAACUUUGGGUUAUCCUUGUUUUGCAUUGAUUUUGGAAUCGGGAUGGAUUUGGGCAAGAGCAUGUAACCAUGUGGAUUUCAGUGAUUGACCAUCCUUACACAUGUGAUGUCAAGGGAAAGGGUAUCCAUUUAUGGGGUUUUCCUGUUAUUUAUCAGCCAACAGUGAACUAGCCAGCUAUUUUGUAUUGGCUAUCUCAUCCUGGAAAGAAGUCAAGACCUUAUUCAACACAGCUACUGAAAGCAGAAAGAAAAUGACACCACACAAAUUCACGUUUAAAUCGAACUUUCCCCUGCAGGUUCCUCCACGUCCGUCUCCAGCUCCUCCUCUGCCCCACUCUCCCUCCUGUUUUCCCCCACUGGGCUCACACACACCUUUUGCACACAAACACAGCAUUCUAUUUUUCUUUUUUGAAGGAGAGGCAGAGGCAAGAGUGGGCUGGUGCUGUCUCCAUCUGCUUGUUCCAGAACCAUUUCAGAUUUAUGAGAAGGAGGGAUUUUGCCUCAGCUUCCUUCCUCCCUCCACCCCCCCAAGAGAUAAGGGAUGGGUCAGCCUGGUCCUUCCCACCUGGAAGUUGAAGAAACAAGCCAGUGUAGGGAUAGCAUGAUCUGUUCCUGCUCCAGGAGAUCUAUUGGCUUCUGAACUGGGCAGAAGAAAGGGUCAACAUAUGCAUCUUCAUGCAUCUUCAGUGUAUGCGUGCUUCCUAAGAUCUUGAGCCUAGAAUCAUGGAUGUACUGCAGGAAUGUUGCCUUACACAGAUCUCUUAAUGGGUUGCUGUGACUUACUGUAAUAUGGUGUGUCAUUUUAGGUGGUGAAACUUAAUGUUUGCAAAUUGCUUCAGCAAGGGGUCUUAAAAAUACGUUUUUGGGUGUGAGGAAUUCAAAUCUGCUAUUAUUUUUGUGAUUGGACAACAUUUAGAUGGGCAAAUCUAUGGUCGAUUGAAAAGCAUGUAAAGUGCUCUCGGAAAGCCAAAGAAUUUUAAUUUUACCUUCUGAAAAAGUUUACCUUCUGAAAAUGUCAGGUAAUGCUAUAAAAUGUUAGGUAAUGCUAUAAUUUUUUUUAAAGUUUCUCUGCAUAAAACAUAGCCUGCUAAGCAUGAAAUAUUAUUUUGCAAUGCUGAAAGUAAAAGUGAACUGACUGUGCAUGGUUGGGUAUUUUCCUAGAGUUCCAAAAUACCCUUGAGCUAAAUCACCCAAGAGUUUCUCAGUAUCUUCCAUACUAAACACACAGAUCAGUUUGUUUUUGAAAGCAUAUAUUUUGGGUUAAGGGAUCUUCCAUUCUACCCUCAGCGGAAUCGCCAUCGACACAAUUAAUGUUUUAUAUAAAUAAAUAACGAUGGUUAAUCACUGGUUUCAGAUGUGGGCAAAUUGUUUCUCCUGAAUUGUUCUAGACACAUGAAAUUUAUAUUUUAGAUGAAGACAGACAUAUUACCUAGAGAUCACAGUACAGCUGCCUUGCAAAAAAUAACUUUCUCUAUGAGGUCAGUAAUUUUCCGCAAUUUUAUAUGGGGGGAAAUCAGUCACUGAAAAGAUAUACAGGGUCUCUUUCUAACAAUCAUUUUCUUUUGCUACCCCAUUGCCAAGAUUACAGAACUCCCUCUUUACACAUAUGAAGGCAGGAGCAACACACCUUAAAGGGUCACAAGGGAGUCUCUGAGUUCUCUAAAAGUUAAUGUUCAUAAUUUUGUUCAACUUCAGUGUUUUCACUGCGGCACCUUUAGAGUGCUUUGCGUAUGUAGCUUAUUAAGUUAUCAAGGCAUUGCUUCAUUUUAAGGUGGCCAGUUUAAGAUUGGAGGAGACUUCAUAGCAUUAUUGGAAUGUCGUCUUCUUGUGUGGGAUCAAAAGGGACAUGGCAUUGACUUCAUGUCUGUCUUUUGCCUCGUGAUCACCUGCUUUCAUCCCUAUCUCUGCUACAGCAAGUUCCAGCAUUCCAAACCUGUGAGCAGCUUGCAAAGUCUUGGCAAGAAAUAAAAUAAAUGUAGUGAAAGCAAUGUUGGAUAGAGACACAGUUAGCCUAGCCUAGCAUUUGAUGGAGUCUGGACUUUAGAAGUGAGCUCUGAAAUGACAGCAUUAACUUCUCUCCUUGUUAUAUUUAAGGUUCUGCAUAGACUCACUUUCCACCUUUAUCUUUUAAAACCCAGUCUCUCAUUGCCUGUGACCUCCAACUGUAGCAUCCUAAGGCAUCUGAGGGUCUCCUGCUCUGCUCACUUUCACUUGCUACCCCUUAUGCCAGGAACUGCUCUUCUGAACACAUAAGUGCCAGCUUUCUCUGUGACUCAACACCCAAGUCUUCAGCUAAAGCAAAGUCUGAGUGUAUGUGCUUCCGUUAAUUCCCUAUUUACCGUAUUUUUUGCUCUAUAAGACUCACUUUUCCCCUCCCAAAAAGUAAGGGGAAAUAUGUGUGCGUCUUAUGGAGCAAAUGCAGGCUGCGCAGCUAUCCCAGAAGCCAGAACAGCAAGAGGGAUCGCUGCUUUCGCUGAGCAGCGAUCCCUCUUGGUGUUCUGGCUUCUGGGAUUCAGAAUAUUUUUUUUCUUGUUUUCCUCCUCGAAAAACUAGGUGCGUCUUGAGGUCUGGUGCGUCUUAUAGAGCGAAAAAUACGGUACCUUCACAUCUCCCUCUGUUGUCUUCCCCAUCUAAAUUUAGGGCGUAUGUUCCUUGGGGCGGGGUUUUUUUAGCGCAGAAAAUCUGCAGAGAUAACCUCCUUCACACAUUCAUGCAUAUCAUGUCCCUGCUAAACAUUUGACAAUUUGAAGCUGAAUUGUGUGAACUGACUGUAUUGAAAGUAUUGUUUGAAAUAAUCUGGGGAAUUAUGAAAAUUCCACCUUGUGUAUGUGAUCCCUGGUUGCUCAUUUACACAUGAAAGCAACCAAGCAGUACGCAUGACUAAGUGAAAAGGGUCUGUUAAUGUAAUCUCCCACUACUACUGUUAACAUUUGUCUGUGGCUUAGGUUUGGAAGGGACAUGUUUCAGUCUGUUAUACUGGUUCUGCGAGGACAUGGAGAAUUGCGAAGGGGAUUCGGAAAGAAAUCAAAGCGCUCUUGCCAAGUGAAAAAGAUUCUGAGAGGCAAAGAGAUCAGCUUGGGAACGUGGAGGUGAGCAUCAUGUGCAAAUGUUGUUGAUGAGGUGGGUUGUGUUAACAGACUCUCUUGGUUUCUGUUCUUGCCUAAAUUCCGUAAGAGACGAUCACAUAACAACACCUGUGAUCUUCGGAUGAAGGGUGGUAUACAGUUAAUAAACAACAGCAAAACACCCCAAAAUGGUUUUCCCUUACAGCAGGCAUGGGAAAACUUUGGCUUUUCAGAUGUUGUUGGACUACAACUCCCAUCAUCCCUCGCCAUUGGUCAUGCUAGCUGGGGCAACGCUACCUGGAAGGCCAGAGGUUCCCCACCCCCGUUUUAGAUGUAUAUCCAUCACUAGGCCGCAAUAAUCCUUCCUUUAGAAGGACAGUGAAUUUCAAAAGUUAAAGUGCAUUAGAGGGAAUGCUAAAAUGGGAAAGAGAAACUGUGAUUUCAACUGCUUUUGCAAGAUACGUAGUUACCAGAGGAGGAGGCCACCGCUCUAGUGCACAGCUGUUUAAUGCAUUAAUCUGCAGACAUAGUUAUUCUCUGGCUGGAGUCCACAGGCUUCCCUAAGACCAAAAAAUGAGCUCUGACUGGGUUUUUCAAGUUAGUAAAAUCUAUGUAUGUGUUGUCAGUGCACAUCUGGAAUUUAAAACUGCUAAUGGAUCUGCUGUGAAAGAAGAGAAGGGAGAAGUGUCUAGCCAACCAACUCAUAUGUUAAAAAGCAUUACUACAUUGCUGGCAGGCAGCCCUUUGCUCUCUUAACUUUGCACCAGUAAAAUUGGAAUGCUAAAACAGUCAGAUAGGGGCUCAGUGCAUAUGCCUUGAGGCCUACUGGAAUGCAGAUUUACCACUCCCACCCACAAAGGAGUAUUUAAAUAGCAAGCUACUAGGUUUUGUGGGUGGGGGGUGUACAAAUCAUCUGCCAACGUAUUGUAUAUUUUAUUAUCAUAUCAAACACAGUGAUAACACAUUAGGUCCCUGGGCUAAAUCUGGUAGCCUAACCACUCGGUUGGUAACCCAGAAGCAAUGGGGUAUGAAGGGAGUGGUGGUUGUGGUUCUAGUAUUUGCCACCAGCCUACUUUGGGACAUAGUAUUGGGUGCCUGGUUUGAACUCUUUCCCCCCUCCUCAAAAUACCUCUCUAACAGAACAAGGUACUAACUGAGACACAAAAUUCUUGAAUAAACAUUGUUCUGGAGUAGCCAAAAAGCUCGCUGCUGGAAGAUGAUCAUCUCAUGCAUGAAAGAAAGAAAGGAGGACAUGACAAAAGGUAUGUAGAUUGCACUCCAGAAAUCACAGGAGUACUCAGAGCAGAACCCUAAAUGAUUCCUGUUACAUGCAUUGUACAAGAUGAGCCUCAGCAGAAGACAGGGGAUGCACAAACAUUUAAAUGUCGUGUUAAUAGAUAUUGCAACAGCUGUGAGGGAUUGGGGGAAAAUAAAGGACAAAAGUACAGUGGCAUGAUUUGCUGUGCUGUUUCCCAGUUUUGUACAUUAAUUAAAGCCAUUGAGAUUAAUUAAACCCCUUAGAUCUAAUGCUGGAAUACAUUAAAGGCAAGCCAAUGGAUGAAUGCAAUUAUAGAAAAUAAAUUUAAGGGGGUAAAGACAAUGGAAAAAAUCAGAGGCAACUCUCAAGGUCAAAAAGGGGAUAAAGCAAAAGAAACCGGGGCGUGUUUUUGCUAAAAGAAAGUAAGAACCUGGAAUUUAAAAAAAGUUUGAUUUGGG